rnacentral:rRNA from 1 species
ACGGAAGGCAGCAGUGGGGAAUAUUGCACAAUGGGGGGAACCCUGAUGCAGCAACGCCGCGUGAGUGAUGACGGUCCUCGGAUCGUAAAGCUCUGUCUUCAGGGACGAUAAUGACGGUACCUGAGGAGGAAGCCACGGCUAACUACGUGCCAGCAGCCGCGGUAAUACGUAGGUGGCAAGCGUUGUCCGGAUUUACUGGGCGUAAAGGGAGCGUAGGCGGACUUUUAAGUGGGAUGUGAAAUACCCGGGCUUAACCUGGGUGCUGCAUUCCAAACUGGGAGUCUAGAGUGCAGGAGGGGACAGUGGAAUUCCUAGUGUAGCGGUGAAAUGCGUAGAGAUUAGGAAGAACACCGGUGGCGAAGGCGACUUUCUGGACUGUAACUGACGCUGAGGCUCGAAAGCGUUGGGAGCGAACAGGAUUAGAUACCCUGGUA